AUACGUAGGGGGCGAGCGUUGUCCGGAAUGAUUGGGCGUAAAGGGCGCGUAGGCGGCCCGGUAAGUCUGGAGUGAAAGUCCUGCUUUUAAGGUGGGAAUUGCUUUGGAUACUGUCGGGCUUGAGUGCAGGAGAGGAAAGCGGAAUUCCUAGUGUAGCGGUGAAAUGCGUAGAUAUUAGGAGGAACACCAGUGGCGAAGGCGGCUUUCUGGACUGUAACUGACACUGAGGCAUGAAAGCGUGGGUAGCAAACAGGAUUAGAUACCCUGGUAGUCCACGCCGUAAACGAUGGGUACUAGGUGUAGGAGGUAUCGACCCCUUCUGUGCCGUCGUUAACACAAUAAGUACCCCGCCUGGGGAGUACGGUCGCAAGACUAAAACUCAAAUGAAUUGACGGGG
rnacentral:rRNA from 1 species